GGAAGCUACGCGUGACUGAGUAGAACCCAAGACAGGCGGAGACGCCCCGCAGGAGACCACAGAACGACAUGGACAGGAUACCUUCCGACCACUAACCAGGUGCAACAGUUGAGAAUGGGCAUGCUCCUCAGCAGCCUCCUGUGCCCCGAAGGAGGAUGUGGAACAGGGCUGAUUGCUGGGAGGAGGCUGGAUCCGGUCAGAAGAGGCCGUCGCCUGCAGGGACCCAGGUGGCUGCAGCUCCCUCCUCCUCCUCCUGCUCCUCCUCCUCAUCUCUGCUUCUCAGCACCUGAGGCGGACGCUCGCGCUGCCGUGGCCUGGGCCACACCUCCUCAGCCCUGAAGCCGGCUGAGCGUGGACUGCAGUGAGGAGCCAAAAAUAACGCUGUCCUCAAGAGGUUCCGGGACUGUGUCCCAGCGAGGAGGAAGUGACUAACACAUCAGCGCAAAAUACAGAGGGUAAAUUUUCUCAUUUUGACCAUCAAACUGGAACUUAUGACCGAGUCUUGUCACUGCCCAGCUGAUAAUCCAGAGGUCAUCUGAAGCAGGAGAUGGAGCCAUCACACUCGGACCCUGGACUCCAUCUGACACACUUGGAGCUCACACUCUCACCUGAGCCAGGUUGAAAUCGUAGAAAUUUUGAAGCUGUGUUCUUCUGUCUUUUACCCAUAUAUAUCUAUGUUUUACCCAUAUAUAUCAUAUGUUUACCCAUAUAUAUCUAUGUUUUACCAUAUAUAUCUAUGUUUUUUGACAUCCAUGAGCCUACACUCAAGUAUUUUUCUAUGAUUGUCUACAGAUGGCAAUUUAUUCACUUUAAAAUUACUAUCCUUGUAUUACUGACUGUAUUUUCUAAUUCUCAUUUCAUAAAAUGAAUAAUGCAUCUAUAAACAUCAUGAAUUAAAUCUACU